rnacentral:lncRNA from 1 species
AUGUCUUGGGGGGGGUGGCUCACAGGGAGUAGGGCUACGCCAGGUAGGAGACCUGCGCAAACUCCCUGUGCUUACCGGGGGGCUAGAGAGACCGGGCAGGCACCGUGUUAUGCAGUGGUGCGCACGGUGUCCCCAGUGCGGGUGCAUAGCCCGGUGCAGUACAUUCCAGCUCCGCGUAUCGGCCGGGCUAGAGUGGGCAUCGAGCCAGGUAAGGUUGGGCAGGCUCGGUGCUCAAGAGCUCCAGUGCGCCUGCACGGUCCGGUCUAUCCAGUACCACCUUCACGCACCAGCCCUCCGGUGGCAGCUCCCCGCACCAGGCUUCCUGUGCGUGUUCUCGGCCCAGUACCACCAGUGCCAGCACCACGCAUCAGGCCUACAGUGCACCUCGCCUCUCCAGCGCUGCCGGAGUCUCCCGCCUAUCUAGCGCUGCCAGAUCCUUCCUCAUCUCCAGCGCUGCCGGAGUCUCCCGCCUGUUCAGCGCAGCCAGAGCUGCCAGCCUGCAUGGAGCAGCCAGAGCUGUCGGUCUGCAUGGAGCAGCCAGAGCUGCCAGUCUGCAUGGAGCAGCCAGAGCUGCCAGUCUGCAUGGAGCAGCCAGAGCUGCCAGUCUGCAUGAAGCAGCCAGAGCUGCCAGUCUGCAUGGAGCAGCCAGAGCUGCCAGUCUGCAAGGAGCUUCCAGUCUGCAGGGAGCUGCCAGUCUGCAAGGAGCUGCCAGUCUGCAAGGAGCUGCCAGUCUGCAAGGAGCUGCCAGUCUACAAGGAGCUGCCAGUCUGCACGGAGCUGUCAGUGUGCAAGGAGCUGCCAGUCUGUAAGGAGCUGCCAGUCUGCAAGGAGCUGCCAGUCUGUAAGAAGCCGCCAGAGCUGUCAGCCUACAUGGAGCAGCCAGAGCCGCCAGUCAGCGUGGAGCAGCCAGAGCCGCCAGUCAGCAUGGAGCAGCCAGAGCCGUCAGUCUGCCAAGAUCCGCCAGUCAGCCAGACUCUUCCAGAUCUGCCAGUCAGCCAGACUCUUCCAGAUCUGCCAGUCAGCCAGACUCUUCCAGAUCCGCCAGUCAGCCAGACUCUUCCAGAUCCGCCAGUCAGCCAGACUCUUCCAGAUCCGCCAGUCAGCCAGACUCUUCCAGAUCCGCCAGUCAGCCAGACUCUUCCAGAUCCGCCAGUCAGCCAGACUCUUCCAGAUCCGCCAGUCAGCCAGACUCUUCCAGAUCCGCCAGUCAGCCAGACUCUUCCAGAUCCGCCAGUCAGCCAGACUCUUCCAGAUCCGCCAGUCAACCAGACUCUUCCAGAUCCGCCAGUCAGCCAGGAUCUGCCAGAACCGCCAGCCAGCCAGGAUCUGCCGGAUCCAACUACCUGCCUGAGCUUCCUCUCAGUGCUGAGCUUCCUCUCAGUGCUGAGCUUCCUCUCAGUGCUGAGCUUCCUCUCAGUCCCGAGGUUCCCCUCAGUCCCGAGGUUCCCCUCAGUCCCGAGCUGCCCCUCAGUCCCGAUCUGCUCCUCAGUCCAGUGGGGUUCUGGGUGA